ACUCCACCUUUGCCUCCUCCCGCCGCGCACCCAGCCCAGCGCAGGCAACUCAAGGCCCCGCUACGGCGCGCGGCGGGCGGCGGCGUGCUCCUCGCUCGUUGCUCGCCUCCCCCACCCCCCCCCCCCACCCUCCCCGGCUCCCGCGAGGUUUUUUUCAUCUGGAUCCGGGGCAUCUGGCUAAUUCAUUGCUACUUCCAGCACAUAGUCUCAUGAAAAAGAGAUUUUGAGCAGAGAGUGAGGGUGAGGGAACCCCAUUGUGCUGUAUGUGGGAUAGAAUGACAAUGGAAUUCAAGACAAUUCCUCUCCAUGGCCUUGCCGCUUCAAACAAAGCCAGCAGCAAAGUUUGCUAAUCAUCCAGUUGGUGACGACUGAUGACUGACGAGACCUUCUGUAUACCAGGCUACAGCUUCGCUAGCUUACUCAUUUCACAUGCUGGCUAGAUCACUUAAUUAGUAAGCACAAUCACAUGUUUUGUCUUGCGGUUUCUCAAGGAUGAUUUUGUGCAAGCCUGAACCUCUAGGAUAUGCUUUGCCUACUGGGUGGAGAUGCAAGCAAGCCAUGCGCAUCAAUAAAUAUUGGAAGCUUGCUUGCUGCAAUUAGUGCUUGAUAUCAGCUGAGGAAACAAAAUCUUCAGAAAUCAGGAAUAUGACAAACUCUGGGAAUAUGAUAUGUAAUUGUGGGAAAUCAAGUAGACUGAACAAACCAGUUAAACUAGCGGUCACCAGUGCGGAGUCUAAGCAGAAGAAACGGAGGAUUUGACAGAUUGGCAAGCGAGCGGCACCGUAAGCUUGAGAACCAUCACUGUCUUUGUGAAUGAGGAAGACUGGAUGCUUUUUCUGGAGAAAUUGUUCAGUUUCUGAAGCUGUCCGGAGCCACUCUUCCAUGGAGGCUUCUAUAGCAUAAAUUCGUAUGAGAAAUGUUAAUGAUCUGCCACGUGUAUCAAUGUCAACAAUAUAUAAGUCAAAUACAAGUGGUAUGAUUUACAUC